AUCGACGUCCCCUUUCCAAUUAUGCUAUACUCUUAGCAGAUUAAAAGAAAAAAAAAAGACGAUUAUGAAUGAAAUUUCUUGAUCUAUUGCUUCAAUUUGUGUUUUUAUGGGCUAUAUAUUUGUUGUUGUGUUGUGUUAUUGCGUCUUCUUCUUCCUCCCCCAGCUAGAAAAAGAGCGCAAUUCAAGAGAAGAUGUUUCUCCAGAAAUAAUGAAAGGUAAAACAAUCUUGUGUUGUUGUUGGAUCUGUUUGGUGACAGGAAUUCUGAGGGCGUUACUACGCUGCGUAACGGUGGUGCAGGCACAGCGCCGUCGCCGGAGAAGGAAGACCGUUACUACUCCACCAGAGGAUCCACGGCGGCGGUAGUGGACGAGAACGGCCAUGAGGAAAGAGGAGGCAGCUUUGUUUUACCAAAGCUGUUGAUUGCUCUGUCAAGCAAAGAAAAGGAAGAAGACUUCAUGGCCAUGAAAGGCUGCAAGCUCCCACAAAGGCCCAAAAAGAGAGCCAAGAUGAUUCAGAGAAGCUUACUUGUAAGCAACAACAAUCACAAAAUGUGGUUUUUGUACAAAUGACCUAUUUCUCGAGGGUGCGAAUGACCCAAAAACCAAAUGAAAACCAACAUUUUCUGACGUACCAUGGCACUUUUGCUUUAGGACGUCUCGAGCUGUUUCCAUUUUUAUUUGGGUCAUUUUGCAUCGCGGAUACUAGGUCAUCCGUGCAAAAAUCUUACCCAAUUUCUCCUUAUUCUUCCCUUUGUGUCUUAGUUAUUGGAUGUUUGUGUCAGCUGGUGAGCCCUGGAGCAUGGCUGACUGAAAUGAGCCAAGAAAGAUAUGAAGUUAGAGAAAAGAAGACAACAAAGAAGGUACACAAACUUUUGUUUCAUUUUUAAUCUUCUUCUGCUAAAUUGGGAUAUGGGUUGAAGUUGAAAAUGCAUCUUCUUCCUUGUU
rnacentral:lncRNA from 1 species